rnacentral:lncRNA from 1 species
GGCCUGCCAGGCCGCCAUGGAUCUUCCAUGCCACCUACUGCUUUCAAGAAGCGCUUUCCAACUCUUACCCCUCCACCGGAGACUAUUAGAGUGUAUAUUUUGUUACGUAUUCUUCUGUUGAUUGACGGAGCCACUUGUCUAGAGAAAAAUAGCAGUAAAAUCAUAGGAUGUGGAACGUGCCCUAGUGGAGACCGCUUUCUCUGCUUUCUCUUCCUAGACCUAGGGUUGAAAGGUAGGAGGUGUGAGGAGGACAAAGAGCUUUAUGGGUAUGAGGCCAGACAUGGUGGCCUCCUCACUGUUUUGUUCAGAACGUUUUCCUUGGUAAAAGAAACAAAGAUUAAAGAGCAUUUGCCUGCC